UUCAAGGCCUAGAGCUCAAACGCUGUCAUCGGCGAGUCUGGAGUUCGAGGCCUAGAGUUUGGAGUCACUUCAUUGGCGAGUCCUGGGGUUGAAACGAAGAUUGAAGCCUGAAGGUUGAUCAGAAGUUUGACGGUUGCGACCCGAUGGCCAAAGCCCUGCGUCUGUGUGUCUGCCCUCUUGAAGUGUGGUCACUAUUUCAAUGCGUGGCAGCUAACUGGAAAGCGCAUCGUGGAAUUCAUCAUGGUGGGUGUACGGAACGCCCUGCCAUUUGAGAAACUCUUAUAUUGGCACAGGGAUGAUAGGAAAAUGGAGAGCUAUGUGAGAGAUGACCAGUUCCAUGAAGUUGAGACUAAAACAGAAGGUAUUUAAUUUCGAUCUGCUCAUUUCCACGCGAGGAGUCUAGUUACUGGAAAUGCGUGACUGGGAUACCAAGGAAUGAAGUUACAGAUAAGAUUAUUAAUCUUACUGGUUAUGGAAGUGGACUGGCUCCCAGAUGCAUCUGACGUACUGUUAACUGUCUCACCCUUCCAGCUGAAGAAGUGAUUCAACUAAAAUGUCAGGCCUCUCUCCCUGCAGCCCAUGACCAUAUAUCUGUCAGCAACAUUAUUUUUAAAACUUAAUUGUAUCACAAAAAUUAUAAAAUUAAUUUCA